rnacentral:rRNA from 1 species
CCCUUAGAUGUUCUGGGCCGCACGCGCGCUACACUGACGAAUGCAACGAGCUUAUAACCUUGGCCGAAAGGUCUGGGUAAUCUCCAAAUUUCGUCGUGAUGGGGAUAGAUUAUUGCAAUUAUUAAUCUUCAACGAGGAAUGCCUAGUAAGCGCAAGUCAUCAGCUUGCGUUGAUUACGUCCCUGCCCUUUGUACACACCGCCCGUCGCUCCUACCGAUUGAAUGGUCCGGUGAAGCGUUCGGACCGUGGCCUUUGGACGGUUCGCCGUCUGUUGGCUGCGGGAAGUUCGUUAAACCUUAUCGUUUAGAGGAAGGAGAANUCGUAACA